GACGAACGCUGGCGGCGCGCUUAACACAUGCAAGUCGAGCGGUAAGGCCCUUUCGGGGGUACACGAGCGGCGAACGGGUGAGUAACACGUGGGUGACCUGCCCUCAGCUCUGGGAUAAGCCUGGGAAACCGGGUCUAAUACUGGAUAUGACUCCAUGACGCACGUUGUGGGGUGGAAAGCCUUGUGCGGCUGAGGAUGGGCCCGCGGCCUAUCAGCUUGUUGGUGGGGUGANGGCCUACCAAGGCGACGACGGGUAGCCGGCCUGAGAGGGCGACCGGCCACACUGGGACUGAGACACGGCCCAGACUCCUACGGGAGGCAGCAGUGGGGAAUCUUGCGCAAUGGGCGAAAGCCUGACGCAGCGACGCCGCGUGAGGGAUGACGGCCU
rnacentral:rRNA from 1 species